rnacentral:rRNA from 1 species
UACGUAGGGUCCGAGCGUUGUCCGGAAUUACUAGGCGUAAAGAGCUCGUAGGUGGUUUGUCGCGUUGUUCGUGAAAACUCACAGCUCAACUGUGGGCGUGCGGGCGAUACGGGCAGACUUGAGUACUGCAGGGGAGACUGGAAUUCCUGGUGUAGCGGUGGAAUGCGCAGAUAUCAGGAGGAACACCGGUGGCGAAGGCGGGUCUCUGGGCCGAUACUGACGCUGAGGAGCGAAAGCGUGGGGAGCGAACAGG